rnacentral:rRNA from 1 species
UACAGAGGGGGCAAGCGUUGUUCGGAAUUACUGGGCGUAAAGGGCGCGUAGGCGGCCUGCUAAGUCGAACGUGAAAUCCCUGGGCUCAACCCAGGAACUGCGUCCGAUACUGGUUGGCUUGAAUCCGGGAGAGGGAUGCGGAAUUCCAGGUGUAGCGGUGAAAUGCGUAGAUAUCUGGAGGAACACCGGUGGCGAAGGCGGCAUCCUGGACCGGUAUUGACGCUGAGGCGCGAAAAGCCAGGGGGAGACAAAGCGGG